GGAGCGGGCCGGACGGCCGCGCCGACCACUCGUCUUGUGCGGGUGCAGCCGGUGAGGAAAGUCCGGACUCCGCAGGGCAGGAUGCCAGUUAACGACUGGGCGCGGCGACGCGACGGAAAGUGCCACAGAAAAGAAAACUCCGUCCGUGUGUUACUUUUUUGGCUUUGGAUGGCCGCAGGCGUGGUCAUCCAAAGCCAAAAAAGUAACACACGGACGGAAAAGCUGAAACGGUGUGGUAAGAGCGCACCAGCGUGCGGGUAACCGCACGGCUUGGCAAACCCCAUCCGGAGCAAUGGCAAAUAGGAGCGCGACGGGUUGGCCCGACCCGCGCUCGGGUUGCCAGCUUGAGGGUCUUGGCGACAAGGCUCCCAGAUAAAUGGUCGUCCCGGCCCGAUGUCCCUUACACCCCUUGGGGGCAACGGGCUAUGACAGAAUCCGGCUUACAGGCCCGCUCCAGAU
rnacentral:RNase_P_RNA from 1 species